rnacentral:rRNA from 1 species
UACGGAAGGCAGCAGUGGGGAAUAUUGCACAAUGGGCGCAAGCCUGAUGCAGCCAUGCCGCGUGUAUGAAGAAGGCCUUCGGGUUGUAAAGUACUUUCAGUCGUGAGGAAGGUGUUAAGGUUAAUAACCUUAGCAAUUGACGUUAGCGACAGAAGAAGCACCGGCUAACUCCGUGCCAGCAGCCGCGGUAAUACGGAGGGUGCGAGCGUUAAUCGGAAUUACUGGGCGUAAAGGGCACGCAGGCGGUUAAUUAAGUUGGAUGUGAAAUCCCCGGGCUUAACCUGGGAAUGGCAUUCAAGACUGGUUAGCUAGAGUCUUGUAGAGGGGGUAGAAUUCCAUGUGUAGCGGUGAAAUGCGUAGAGAUGUGGAGGAAUACCGGGUGGCGAAGGCGGCCCCUGGGACAAAGACUGACGCUCAUGUGCGAAAGCGUGGGGAGCAAACAGGGAUUGAUACC